rnacentral:lncRNA from 1 species
ACUACACGUCCAAUUCAACUUGGUUUGUGUUCAGCAUUCAUUUGCAUUAGCUUUUGGGCUUUGCACGCGCCUGUACAGGCCCAUGCAUGAAGGGUCCAAAUUCCAUGCACACGAGUAUUGCCUUGCAUUGCUUCAAGCUCAGCUAUAAAUACAUGCUCCUCUUCAUUCAAUUCUCAUGGGCUUUGCACGCGCCUGUACAGGCCCAUGCAUGAAGGGUCCAAAUUCCAUGCACACGAGUAUUGCCUUGCAUUGCUUCAAGCUCAGCUAUAAAUACA